rnacentral:rRNA from 1 species
UGGGGAAUUUUGGACAAUGGGGGAAACCCUGAUCCAGCCAUCCCGCGUGUGCGAUGAAGGCCUUCGGGUUGUAAAGCACUUUUGGCAGGAAAGAAACGUCGCGGGUUAAUACCCCGCGAAACUGACGGUACCUGCAGAAUAAGCACCGGCUAACUACGUGCCAGCAGCCGCGGUAAUACGUAGGGUGCAAGCGUUAAUCGGAAUUACUGGGCGUAAAGCGUGCGCAGGCGGUUCGGAAAGAAAGAUGUGAAAUCCCAGAGCUUAACUUUGGAACUGCAUUUUUAACUACCGGGCUAGAGUGUGUCAGAGGGAGGUGGAAUUCCGCGUGUAGCAGUGAAAUGCGUAGAUAUGCGGAGGAACACCGAUGGCGAAGGCAGCCUCCUGGGAUAACACUGACGCUCAUGCACGAAAGCGUGGGGAGCAAACAGGAUUAGAUACCCUGGUAGUCCACGCCCUAAACGAUGUCAACUAGCUGUUGGGGCCUUCGGGCCUUGGUAGCGCAGCUAACGCGUGAAGUUGACCGCCUGGGGAGUACGGUCGCAAGAUUAAAACUCAAAUGAAUUG